CCAGAGGACACAACAGGGAAGCCAAAAAGAAAAAAAGAAAAUCUCCAUCCUUCUCGGCUCUCUCCCUCACAGAACAAAAAGAAGAAAACACUCCCUCACUUUGCACACGGCUCACUCUCUCCCUCUCUCGGACCUGGGCAGAGGAAAGAAACAGAAAACACACAAGAAGAAGAAGAAAAAUCCCCCUCAAUCUCUCGGUUCUCCUUUCUCUUUCCCCUCUCAAUCUCACACACACCUACAUUGAGGUAAUUUUAGUUUUGUUUAGCACAUUAAGGCCAUGCUUCAUUGUUUAAUUUUCUUUUGCUUUUGC
rnacentral:lncRNA from 1 species